UACACAUGCAGUCGGACGGUAGCACAGAGAGCUUGCUCUUGGGUGACGAGUGGCGGACGGGUGAGUAAUGUCUGGGGAUCUGCCCGAUAGAGGGGGAUAACCACUGGAAACGGUGGCUAAUACCGCAUAACGUCGCAAGACCAAAGAGGGGGACCUUCGGGCCUCUCACUAUCGGAUGAACCCAGAUGGGAUUAGCUAGUAGGCGGGGUAAUGGCCCACCUAGGCGACGAUCCCUAGCUGGUCUGAGAGGAUGACCAGCCACACUGGAACUGAGACACGGUCCAGACUCCUACGGGAGGCAGCAGUGGGGAAUAUUGCACAAUGGGCGCAAGCCUGAUGCAGCCAUGCCGCGUGUAUGAAGAAGGCCUUCGGGUUGUAAAGUACUUUCAGCGGGGAGGAAGGCGAUGCGGUUAAUAACCGCGUCGAUUGACGUUACCCGCAGAAGAAGCACCGGCUAACUCCGUGCCAGCAGCC
rnacentral:rRNA from 1 species